rnacentral:ncRNA from 1 species
CAGAUAGAGGCGCGGUGUACAUGAGUAUCGUCUGCGAGGGGCCGUUACCCCGCCGACCACACGAAAAAGGGUUCACCGCCGAAGGUCGGCUCGCGUUACGGCGCAGCAGUCCUGGACGGCUCGGACAAUAUCCCGUCGUCUGUCACUGCCAUAGCAAUAUAAUUCUGCUGUGCCGGUGGAGUGCUAUUC